GCAGUUAGCUCAGUUGGUUAAAGCGUGGUGCUGAUAACGCCAAGGUCAUAGGUUCAAUUUCAGACACACAUUCCUGCUUUGCAGCA